rnacentral:rRNA from 1 species
GUCGAGGAUCUUCGGCAAUGGGCGCAAGCCUGACCGAGCGACGCCGCGUGUGCGAUGAAGGCCUUCGGGUUGUAAAGCACUGUCGAGGGGGAGGAAGACCCGCAAGGGUUUGACCUAUCCCUGGAGGAAGCACGGGCUAAGUUCGUGCCAGCAGCCGCGGUAAGACGAACCGUGCGAACGUUGUUCGGAUUCACUGGGCUUAAAGGGCGCGUAGGCGGCUUGCCAAGUCAGGGGUGAAAUCUUUCGGCUCAACCGGAAAAUUGCUUUUGAUACUGGCAAGCUGGAGGGAGGUAGGGGCAGAUGGAACUUCCGGUGGAGCGGUGAAAUGCGUAGAUAUCGGAAGGAACGCCGGUGGCGAAAGCGAUCUGCUGGAUCUUCACUGACGCUGAGGCGCGAAAGCCAGGGGAGCAAACGGGAUUAGAUACCCCGGUAGUCC